ensembl:lncRNA
CCCCCUCCAGGUACCGAGGAGGCUUUCUUCUUUUAACCCUGAGCACUCUCACAAGGAGAGUGACAACAGUCCCAGUGGAAGGCCUGAAGAAGCAAAGCCCUGUGCCAGGGGUCUUCCCACGAGACUGUAGGGAACUUAGCAGGUAAAUCUGCACGAGUGAAGGCCCCCAGGUGUCUGCGUGUCGGCAGGGCUGUACUCCACAUCCAUUUGGCAGUGCUUCGAUUCUUGGAAUGCCACAGGUUUUGGGCAGCUGCUGACCUCCUCAACGCAAUUAAACAAGGCUGGCAGUGGAUGCUGUCCCGGACUGAGAGGACCGUUCCUCAUAUUGUGUGGUUGUGGUCUGAGCAUCUUGGGAGUGGGAAGCUCUGGUUACCCAGAAAGAAGGACCCAGGCUGCCGGGCUGAGGGGCAGGAGCAUGCGCACAGGCCUUACCUAUGAAAAGUUUUGUGUUCCAGCUGACUUCCUCCAAGAGAGCUGCCAAUGUGCUUUUUCAUCAGGACUACGUGAAACACCUGAGUUCACUGGGACUGCAGGAAAACUGUCUCAGAGACAAAGAUACACAGCCUCCCUGGAUUGCUGGCUACAUGCCUGAUCUGAGGCAGGACCUAGGAAUCUUUUCCUGAAAUUAACGCGAAUUCAGGAGGUUUGUGUUUUAAGAACUGCACCCAGUCCUGUGAAAGCAGAGAUAACGCUGUUGCAAAGGAUGGAAAAGGCUCAGAGGUGAUGCGAUGGCUCCAGGGGUGCUGACCUAUUCUUGCCCCAUGUGGGGCUGCUGAGCAUCGUGCAGCUCUUGGUGCUGCUGCUGUGUGCACUCAGGUGCCAGCUCUGCCAAACCUUCUGCUGUCCUGUCCUCAUACCAUGUGUCCUCAUCAAAAAAAAAAAACAGUGCAGCAAAACACAACAAGCAGUGUUAAAAAUGUGUUGCAGAUGUGGUAGUAACUCCCGGUUGCAAUAGGCAGAUGACUGUUUUUUCCUUGUUUCUGUCCUAAUAUUGGGUCCAGCUGAGACCAGGGUUUUACAUGUAACUACAGUGUCCCUGCCCUGCAGGUCAGGCACUGGUGAAACACAUGUCUGAAGAGAUGAAGAAACUUGUUCGGCAGCACGUGGUGCAGUCAGCGCCCUUCCCGUCUCCCAGAACCCCAACGCAUGGAGGCAGAACCAUCCUGUAGUUCUCUGCCACAGAGAUCAUUUUGCUCUCAGACCUUCUGCUGACCCUGAACGACUUUUGUUCUUUGAGAGCUCUUUUAUUUCUCUCCUUCUCUCUCUCUCUCCCCUCUUUUUUUCUGUUGUUGCUCAUAUUUUCCCCUCUCAUUAAUUAUACAGAUGUGCUGGGGGCCAUGUGCUUUGCCACAUCACAAAGGAAACCACAGGACUUCAGAUCAGAGGAUCUGCCAGAUGUCCUCGCCUGGCAGAGCACCGUGUGAGGGUCAUGGCUACAAGAGCAGGCUUGUCUGCAUCCAUGGGGCACAGCGGGGACAGCACCCAGCAAAGGGGCCACAUAGGAAACAAGCUUAGUGCAAGCACAGAGUAAGAGCUUUGGAUUACUUGAGUUCACUGCUGGGGUCUUUUUUCCCCCUUUAUUUGAGGCACUAACCCCCAGGAUUCCUUAAGACCACAGCUGCUCAUCUGUGCUUUGGUUGAACAUCACCUUAUUUCCUGACGAGCCCUUUGCCCCUUGGUGCAGUUUGCAAUUUCAAGUCCAGAACUCAGACCUUCAGGACUGCUCCUGCUUGGGAAAAUGUGCUGUUUGUGCGUGGUUCACUUUGUUCUUAUGUAGUCCAUUCUUUGGAGUGUCAGUAAGAGUUAUUAAAGGCAAUGGCUUUGAAGCGAUUGUUUUCUUCAGGUACCCACUCAGGACCAGGCUGUACGUUGUCUCCUUUGGCAGUGUCUCCAGCAGUCUGCUAGGGAGGCUUUUUCUUUUGAACUUGUAGAAAUGGCAGAGAAAAAUGGUUGGUUUCAUGUUUGGGACUAUGCUUAUUUAUCUUUUCUGCCUUCAGAAGGGUGACUCAAGAUUUAUUUUUUGCUGAGGGAAAUGGGUCCCAGCAAGGCCUCUGCAAGAAUGGCCUGAGAGUACAGGUCCCAUAUACGGAGGGGCAGGGAGAGGGAAGAAAGCCCCUGUGCUAUUUCUCUCUCUCAAAAGAAACACAAAGGGGAAAGCCAGCCACUACAUAUCCAGCUGUUAUCUCUGAUCUUGCUGCUAUUCUUUAACUAUUUUCUUUCACGUUAUUGAGAUUUGUGAUCAGCAGACACAUGGUUAACACAGGAGUAUAAAGUUUCCUUUCUGUCACUGGUCUCUGGGUCCAGAUUUCCACUCUGGUAAAAGCAGAAAUCGACAUCAAAAUAACACUUGGGUUUGUGCCCCUGUGCUUCUGGCUCUGGACCAAGCUUAUCCCAGGCUUAGCUGGAUAAUGCUAUAUUCAAACAUCACCAACAGACACCCAGUGUGUAGGAGGUCUUUGACACAGGACUGAAGGAUCCAUAGCAAUUCAGGCAUCCUUGGAAACUGUGCUCUCCUUCCCCUUAAGGCUGAUGACUUUGUCCUUAGUUAUAUUUGUCCGAGGUUUCCAUUAAACAGAUUAUAAUUCCAAAUUCUUAACUUUUAAGGUAAACGGGAAUGGCUCAUGGCAAAUGGAUUUGCAAACCCAACUAAUGCAUGUAAAUACAGGAUACCAAUUUCAACUAUUUGAUACAUUCACUCUGCCCAAAACAAGUUAAAACGAACGUGAAAUUUCAAUAGUCAAAAAAGCAAGGUGCAAAAUACGUGGCUAUUAUUGUUUUAUAACUGUCUACAAGCGUUCCACAAUUUUUGAGUGAGUGGAAAAUGGGUAUCUGGGUUAGUUUCUUGCUGCUCUUGGAUAUUCCAUUGGUGUCUUUUGCUGCUGAACACAGGAUAAAUAAAGAUCAAUCCCCUAUCGUC